ACAGUGCCGAGGAAGGGUGUGUGUGUGCGGCGCUCCCUGGCUACACACACACACACACACACACACACACACACACACACUCAUAUAUAAUUAAAACUUUUUGCACACUGAAGGAUCGAUCAUGAAACCAAAGAACACACACACACACACACACACACGCACAGUGCUUCAAGGAUUAUAAGUUCCUCGCGAGCUGUCAUCGGUGAGUGUGAUGGGGAGCAGACGAGGAGCCACAAGGAGCAGCAGGGAGAGAGAGAGGCGAUCCUGCUGUUCCUCUGUCUACGAAGGGAAGCAGACGAGGAACCACAAGGAGCACCAGAGAGAGGGAGAGAGGCGAUCCUGCUGUUCCUCUGUCUACGAAGGGAAGCAGACGAGGAGCCACAAGGAGCAGCAGGGAGAGAGAGAGGCGAUCCUGCUGUUCCUCUGUGUACGAAGGGAAGCAGACGAGAAACCACAGGAAGCAGCAGAGAGGGAGAGAGGCGAUCCUGCUGUUCCUCUGUCUACGAAGGGAAGCAGACGAGGAACCACAAGCAGCAGAGAGAGGGAGAGAGGCGAUCCUGCUGUUCCUCUGUGUACGAAGGGAAGCAGACGAGGAACCACAGGGAGCAGCAGAGAGAGGGAGAGAGGCGAUCCUGCUGCUCCUCUGUCUACGAAGGGAAGCAGACGAGGAACCACAAGGAGCAGAAACGGAGAGAGACGCGAUCCUGCUGUUCCUCUGUAUUUUUUUCUUUUUUUUUACAGCAGAGGAGACAGUACAAGGGCGUAAAAAAGAACUAUAAUGAAAAAAAAAGCCCGCUACUUACUGCUCCUAGAAUAAGCGAUUUGGAGCAGACGAGAAACCACAAGGAGCAGAAGAAGGAACAAUCAUAACUCUCCUUGUCCACACGGAGACCUUCCAACCCCAUUCAUUAUUUUUUUUUAUAUUAUUAUUUCACUUUUUUUUCGUUUUUUUAUGAUGAUUUUACAUUUCUAUGAUUUUUAUUUUUGAAUCAUUUAACUUUUUUUCACUUUUAAUAAUUUCGUUUUUUUUCUCUUUUUUGAAUCGUUAAACUUUUUUUUUCACUCUUAAGUCAUUAUGUUUUGUUUUGUUUUCACUGUUUUUUGGAAUUAUUUAAACCUUAUCACUCUUUUAUAAGCUAAUUUUACUUUUU